UUCAUACUCCCUCCGUUCGGAAUUACUUGUCUCGGAAAUGGAUGUAUCUAGAACUAAAAUACGUUUAGAUACAUCCAUUUGUGCGACAAGUAAUUCCGAACGGAGGGAGUAGUUA
rnacentral:pre_miRNA from 1 species